CUCUCCCCCGUGCCUCCCUCCCCCUCGCACCACACUUCUCGCCGCCACCACCACCGACGGGCCAGUUUCCACCAGAUCCCGCCCGAUUCCGGCGUCCUCCAGCAGCGCCCAACCCACCACCAUGACCCCCUUCCUCCGCUCCUUCCUCCCACCGGGCUAGAUCCGGCGCGCGCGUCCUCGAGCGGCCAAGCGCAACCCUGCCCAGCGGCUAGGGUUGUGGGCAGCACGUCGUCGUCGUGGUUUCGGUGACUCAGAUCUAACCCUCCUCACAUGUCACCCCCGAUUCGUACCUCGUGGGGAGUCCUGCACCUGUACUUCUCGUCUAGGGUUAGGAUGGCAGCACAACACCGCCGUGGAUUCAGGGUUGGAGCCCGAGCGUGGCCCGGACAUGCAAAACAUGGAGCCCCGCAUGGAUCUUUCGUCGAUCUGGCUGUUAUGGUCAGGACAACCUCCCAAGUUAGAUCUGCGAGGCUCGGUCACAUGCCACCCAGGUACAACAGGAAUGCAAAUUGGAGGUCAAUGUUGAGGAAUAUGUUGAAUCAACUUGUAAACCCUACCUGAUGGACAUCAUAUACUGCUGGUCAAAGGGCGCCACCUUCGGAGAGGUGACAGAAAAGACUGACAUUUUUGAAGGAAGCAUCAUACGUCUAGUUAGUAGGCUGGAUGAAUUUCUGAAUCAGCUAAACCACCUGUUGGUUCCGGGGACUAGUAAUAAAAUCACAUGGAUAGAGAGUGUCUGUCUUUGAUUAUC